AGUGGAUGGGGAACAACCUAGUUGUGCGUGUGUAAAGGUAGUGCCAAGAAAAGCGGUGAUCAUGAUGAAAAUCAAUUCCCGGUACCCGAAACCGACACAGGUGGGCAAGUAGAGAAUACUAAGGGGCGCGAGGUAACUCUCUCCAAGGAACUCGGCAAAAUGACCCCGUAACUUAGGGAGAAGGGGUGCCACCGAGAGGUGGUCGCAGUGAAGAGGCCCAGGCGACUGUUUAGCAAAAACAUAGGUCUCUGCAAACUCGAAAGAGGAGGUAUAGGGGCUGACGCCUGCCCAGUGCCGGAAGGUUAAAGAAGUUGGUCAGUCUUAGGAUGAAGCUAGCGACUGAAGCCCCGGUGAACGGCGGCCGUAACUAUAACGGUCCUAAGGUAGCGAAAUUCCUUGUCGGGUAAGUUCCGACCCGCACGAAAGGCGUAACGAUCUGGGCGCUGUCUCGGAGAGAGGCUCGGCGAAAUAGGAUUGUCUGUGAAGAUACGGACUACCUGCAUUUGGACAGAAAGACCCUAUGAAGCUUUACUAUAGCUUGGAAUUGUGUUCGGGCUUCCUGUGCGCAGGAUAGGUGGGAGGCGUAGAAGGUAUUCUUGUGGGGAUACUGGAGCCAACGGUGAGAUACCACUCUCAGGAGGCUAGAAUUCUAACUUAAUUAAGGACAGUUUCAGGUGGGUAGUUUGACUGGGGCGGUCGCCUCCAAAAAGGUAACGGAGGCGUACAAAGGUUCCCUCAGACUGGUUGGAAAUCAGUCGCAGAGUGCAAAGGCAGAAGGGAGCUUGACUGCGAGAAGUACAGUUCGAGCAGGGUGGAAACACGGUCUUAGUGAUCCGACGGUGCUGUGUGGAAGUGCCGUCGCUCAACGGAUAAAAGUUACUCUAGGAUAACAGGCUGAUCUCCCCCAAGAGUUCACAUCGACGGGGAGGUUUGGCACCUCGAUGUCGGCUCAUCGCAACCUGGGGCGGAAGUACGUCCCAAGGGUUGGGCUGUUCGCCCAUUAAAGCGGUACGUGAGCUGGGUUCAGAACGUCGUGAGACAGUUCGGUCCAUAUCCGAUGUAGGCGUGAGAAUAUUGAGAGGAGCCUUCCUUAGUACGAGAGGACCGGGAAGGACGCACCGCUGGUGUACCUGUUAUGAUGCCAAUUGUAAACGCAGGGUAGCCAAGUGCGGAGAGGAUAACCGCUGAAAGCAUCUAAGUGGGAAGCCCACCUCAAGAUGAGUAUUCUGGUGUAAGGUCACGGGAAGACGACCCGUAAAUAGGCACGAGGUGGAAGUGCAGAGAUGUAUGAAGCCGAAGUGUACUAAUAGACCGUCGGCUUGAC
rnacentral:rRNA from 1 species